rnacentral:rRNA from 1 species
GACGAACCACACGAACGUUAUUCGGAAUUACUGGGCUUAAAGGGUGCGUAGGCGGCGCGGUAAGUAGGGUGUGAAAUCCCUCGGCUCAACCGAGGAACUGCGCUCUAAACUACCGUGCUCGAGGGAGGUAGAGGUGAGCGGAACUUAGGGUGGAGCGGUGAAAUGCGUUGAUAUCCUAAGGAACACCGGUGGCGAAAGCGGCUCACUGGGUCUCUUCUGACGCUGAGGCACGAAAGCUAGGGUAGCGAACGGG